rnacentral:rRNA from 1 species
GGUUUGAUUAUGGCUCAGAUUGAACGCUGGCGGGAUGCUUUACACAUGCAAGUCGAACGGCAGCACGGACUUCGGUCUGGUGGCGAUGAACAGGUGAGUAAUGUAUCGGAACGUGCCUAGUAGCGGGGAUAACCGCGAAAGCGUAGCUAAUACGCGCCCUUCGAGGAAAGCGGGGGACCUUCGGGCCUCGCACUAUUAGAAGCGGCCGAUAUCGGAUUAGCUAGUUGGUGGGGUAACGGCUCACCAAGGCGACGAUCCGUAGCUGGUUUGAAGGACGACCAGCCACACUGGGACUGAGACACGGCCCAGACUCCUACGGAGGCAGCAGUGAGUGCGGACAAUGGGGAAACCCUGAUCCAGCCAUCCCGCGUGUGCGAUGAAGGCCUUCGGGUUGUAAAGCACUUUUUUGGCAGGGAAAGCAUGCAGGAUAAUACCCCCGUGCAACUGACGAACACCUGCGAUAAGCACCGGCUAACUACGUGCUGUAUGCAGUAAUACAUGGGGUAAAGCGUUAAUCGGAAUUACUGGGCGUAAAGCGUGCGCAGGCGGUUCGGAAAGAAGAUGUAGAUCUGAGCUUAACUUUGGAACUGCAUUUUUAACUACCGGCUAGAGUGUGUCAAUUGGAAUUCCCGCGAAAGUACUUGCCGGUGAAAUGCGUAGAUAUGCGGAGGAACACCGAUGGCGAAAACAGCCUCCUGGGAUAACACUGACGCUCAUGCACGAAAGCACGUGGGGAGCAAACAGGAUUAGACCUACGGUAGUCCACGCCCUAAACGAUGUCAACUAGCUGUUGGGGCCUUCGGAGCCUUGUUGGCCUGCGCUAACGCGUGAAGUUGACCGCCACCAGGAUACCGGUGCAAGAUUAAAACUCAAGGAAUUGACGGGGACCCGCACAAGCGGUGGAUGAUGUGGAUUAAUUCGAUGCAACGCGAAAAACACCUACCCUUGACAUGUCUGGAAUCCCGAAGAGAUUUGGGGAGUGCUCGCAAAGAGAACCGGAACACAGGUGCUGCAUAGCUGUCAGUGAUCAGCUCGUGUCGUGAGAUGUUGGGUUAAGUCCGCAACGGGCGCAACCCUUGUCGUGAAGUUGCUACGAAAGGGCACUCUAAUGGGAACUGCCGGUGACAAACCGGAGGAAGGUGGGGAUGACGUCAAGUCCUCGCCCAGCCCUUAUGGGUAGGAACUCACACGUCAUACAAUGGUCGGGACAGAGGUGUAACCCGCGAGGAGGUGUCCAGAAACCCGAUCGUAGUCCAGAUCGCAGUCUGCAACUCGACUGCGUGAAGUCGGAAUCCUUCAGUAAUCGCGGAUCAGCAUGUCGCGGUGAAUACGUUCCCGGGUCUUGUACACACCGCCCGUCUGUGGGAGUGGGUUUUACCAAGUAGUUAGCCCUAACCGUAAGGAGGCAAUUACCACGGUAGGAUUCAUGACUGGGGUGAAGUCGUAACAAGGUAA